rnacentral:rRNA from 1 species
UACGAAGGGGGCUAGCGUUGUUCGGAAUUACUGGGCGUAAAGGGCGCGUAGGCGGCCCGCUAAGUCGAACGUGAAAUCCCCAGGCUCAACCUGGGAACUGCGUCCGAUACUGGCAGGCUUGAAUUCGGGAGAGGGAUGUGGAAUUCCAGGUGUAGCGGUGAAAUGCGUAGAUAUCUGGAGGAACACCGGUGGCGAAGGCGGCAUCCUGGACCGAUAUUGACGCUGAUGCGCGAAAGCCAGGGGAGCAAACGGG